rnacentral:rRNA from 1 species
ACUCCUGCGGGAGGCAGCAGUGGGGAAUUUUGGACAAUGGGGGCAACCCUGAUCCAGCAAUGCCGCGUGAGUGAAGAAGGCCUUCGGGUUGUAAAGCUCUUUUGUCAGGGAAGAAACGGUGGUGGCGAAUAACUACUACUAAUGACGGUACCUGAAGAAUAAGCACCGGCUAACUACGUGCCAGCAGCCGCGGUAAUACGUAGGGUGCAAGCGUUAAUCGGAAUUACUGGGCGUAAAGCGUGCGCAGGCGGUUGUGUAAGUCAGAGGUGAAAUCCCCGGGCUCAACCUGGGAAUUGCAUUUGAGACUGCACGGCUAGAGUGUGUCAGAGGGGGGUAGAAUUCCACGUGUAGCAGUGAAAUGCGUAGAUAUGUGGAGGAAUACCGAUGGCGAAGGCAGCCCCCUGGGAUAACACUGACGCUCAUGCACGAAAGCGUGGGGAGCAAACAGGAUUAGAAACCCGUGUAGUCCCAUG